ensembl:lncRNA
GUUAUUCAUAAAUUUAGGUUUGCUGGGGUUCAACAAUAUUAUUGCCUUUUGCUGCAGCUCAGAAAGAGAAUAUCGUUAAGCUUCGCCUAUUGUUCUAUAAUUCCGCCUACAAAUGACACCUACUAAUUUUUUCCACAAUCUAUUGGCUUGAAAUAGUCACACAUUCAAACCAUGCUUUAAGAAAGCUUAGAAUUUUAAUAUUCCUUGUGCUGAAGAAGAAGAGAACCUCUGGAGAGCCUAAGCAUUAGUAAGAUUGAAUACAUACUCCCUGUUCCUGAGGACUGUAAUUCAAUUAUCCAAUUUUAAUGUGGAAACAAUAAAUAUCAUGUCAUUGUCACUAUAAUGAAUUAAAGCAAUUUAUUUAAAUCUCACGCCUUGAAGCACUGUUAUAUAAUAAAUCUAUUUUCUUAUCGCCUAUUCACAGCCUAUUCACAGCCAUUCACAGAGGUGCUGUUGGAACAAGCUGAUCUUGUCACGAGCACCUUGAAUUUCUGCAAGCAGUUCCCGUCAAGAAGCUGCAAAAUACAUUUCUUCAGACUGCUGGAAUGUGUCUGUACCUGGAAAGCUGCUCUUUUCUUCUUCCUCACCCUUUUCUUCACGCCCUUCCUUCCAAACCUCAACCACACUAUCAGGAACUCAGUUUCUCACUGUGACUCAGACGGUCUGAAAGAGCCUCAGCCUGUGAGGAUUUUAUGGAACAGAAUGAUCACAUAAAUUAUUCAAUUAUUUUUGAGAGAAAUAGGCACCUGCCUGCAUUAAGCUACUGUCACUUUAUGUUUUCUGUGAAUUUGGGCUAGAUAUAAUCUUACCUUGAUAUAUAAUACCUCAAAAAAUUAUUGUUGAAAUUAAAUAAGAUUUUUUAUGUGUUUAACAUGGUGACUCUUUAUCUGAUAAAUAUUUUGUACAUUUUCUCUAUUAUUUCUUUUUUCAUGGUUAUUCAAAACUAUUUGUGUAUGUUUAAGAAAAAGAAGUCAAUUCAGUAUGUAUUUGUUGAUUAAUUCUCUUUCCAAGACAUUGAAACAAAGAUCAGAAAGCCAAACUUCUGCUGGGCUACAGGUAAAUACUGAAAUAAUUAGAAGAAAAUAAAAACAUAUGCAACUUUGCACUUAUCAGUGAGAAAACUAUGUAUGAUACCAAUUAAAAAGCAAUUUAGGAAGUCAUUAUUUCAUAGAAAAUCUGUAUGUAGAUUAAAGUCUAGGUCACCCAUUUUACAAUGAAGCACUUCAUCAGGUUUAUAGCUCCCUUUGGACUGAUUCCAGAACUUUACAUUUGGAAACAUUUACUUCUAAACCUCAAUUUCGUUUUAUUUACAAACUAUUAAAUUACAUAUAGCUUUCACAUUCAAAUUCAAUUAUUGAAGAUUCUUCUUUGAAAAACUUUAUAUCAAUAAAUUUACUCAAGUAUUUUUCUUCUAAAAGAUUGAUUUCAAAUGAUUACAACUAUUGUCCCAGAUCUGUUAGUAAAAAUGUAUCGAUCCUCAAAGUUGUAUCUUUUAAGUGAUAUUUGCUGAAUGUUAUUAUAUAAUUGGUAUUUCAUGGCCUUGUACUUUUAUAGCUCCUAAUGCCCACAAAAGUCAGAGAAUGCAGUUUGAAUCUUGGUUUCAUUUCCAUUUAGCAUCAUGUUUAUUGAUAGUAAAUGCUCAAUACUUAUUUAUUAUAGGACCACCAGCUGUUUUUUUUAAUUAAGCAAAUUGCGCCAAGACUUGCUCCUUAUUAAAAUUCCAAAUUUAUGAUAUUCAGGUCAAUGAACAUAUUUAUUCCAUUUGAAAUUACAUAUUUGUAAGCAAAUCUUUUUUUUUUUUUUUUUUGAGACGGAGUUUCGCUCUUGUUACCCAGGCUGGAGUGCAAUGGCGCGAUCUCGGCUCACCGCAACCUCCGCCUCCUGGGUUCAGGCAAUUCUCCUGCCUCAGCCACCUGAGUAGCUGGGAUUACAGGCACGCGCCACCAUGCCCAGCUAAUUUUUUGUAUUUUUGGUAGAGACGGGGUUUCACCAUGUUGACCAGGACGGUCUUGAUCUCUUGACCUCGUGAUCCACCCGCCUCGGCCUCCCAAAGUGCUGGGAUUACAGGCGCAAAUCUUUUAAAGUAAUUACCCAAGCAAAAGAAAUUAUCAGGUUAGGUGAGAUAUUAUACCUUUCUAUUAACCCUUAACUAAACACUUGUAGCUAAUAUUAACCGAUAUUACAGACUAUUUUUAGCUUUUAAAUUCAAAUUCAAAUAUCAAAGAUUAUUUUCAAACGAAACUAUUUUAUUGAAGUUAUUACAAUUCAUAAUGUUAUAAAUGUAUAAUAAAAUAUACAAUGAUAAAAUAUAAUAUGUAUAUUUUGACCUAAAAGAUACUAAAAGUAUUUGAGUUCUUUUUUCUGCUAAGAAUACUUAUGUGCAAAGCAACAAAAAAAUUGUAUGAUACAUAUACAAAUAAUAAAAUAUCCAAUAAUCUUAAAUCAUUUUGUUCCAGUUAGUUUGGUGAUUUUUAUGAGUAAAUUGAAUUAGACAUCUGUUAAUUACCUAUCCAGGAAAGUUCUUGAAAGUUUAUGAAUCUUUCAAGGUUCCUCAG